rnacentral:tRNA from 1 species
GGGGCCAUAGCUCAGCUGGGAGAGCGCCUGCCUUGCACGCAGGAGGUCAGCGGUUCGAUCCCGCUUGGCUCGACCA